CACUCUCUACCUUUCUUUCAUUUCAUUUUUGUUUUCUUUCAUACACUCUCUACUCUUAUAUCCUCUCUACCCGGUACUUCCACACCACCACCACCAUUUCUACCAUCAUUUUCCUGCAAGAUCACCGGAAAAUUCUUGGGAACCCAUAAACACCUUCACAUCUUUUUUUUGAGGUUCUAGCUAAUCUCUUUGGAGCUUGGAGAAUUAGGAUUUUGUGAUUACGAGUGUUUACCGAGUUUUAUAUCUCCUCAGUUGGGUUUACCGCUUCUUUAUGGAGAUUCACCAAAUACGCUGGAUACCUUGGGUUUCGGGCUUGAUUCAUACAGCUCUUUAUGCCGACUUUUUCUACUACUAGUACUAUAUCAAGAGCUGGAAGAACCGUGAGAAGCUGAAGUUGAUCUUUCUUGGCCUAUUGAGAGAAUUUUACUGAGAAGAACAAAGUUACUUCAGGGUGUUAACUUACAGGCUUUCAUUUCUUUCCUUUUUUUCUUUUUGAUGAAUAUUUUCUUGUUUCUGGACAGCUUUUAUACUUGCUACAAAAAUGUUCUUUGAAGAAUCACCAGCUUAGUUAUAGUUGAAUUCCUGUCCUGGUUACAUUAAUGAUAAUAAUAAUAAUAAUAAAACUGUACCAGUUAA